rnacentral:rRNA from 1 species
GACGAACGCUGGCGGCGUGCUUAACACAUGCAAGUCGAACGGAAAGGCCCUGCUUUUGUGGGGUGCUCGAGUGGCGAACGGGUGAGUAACACGUGAGUAACCUGCCCUUGACUUUGGGAUAACUUCAGGAAACUGGGGCUAAUACCGGAUAGGGGCUCCUGCUGCAUGGUGGGGGUUGGAAAGUUUCGGCGGUUGGGGAUGGACUCGCGGCUUAUCAGCUUGUUGGUGGGGUAGUGGCUUACCAAGGCUUUGACGGGUAGCCGGCCUGAGAGGGUGACCGGCCACAUUGGGACUGAGAUACGGCCCAGACUCCUACGGGAGGCAGCAGUGGGGAAUAUUGCACAAUGGGCGGAAGCCUGAUGCAGCAACGCCGCGUGCGGGAUGACGGCCUUCGGGUUGUAAACCGCUUUCGCCUGUGACGAAGCGUGAGUGACGGUAAUGGGUAAAGAAGCACCGGCUAACUACGUGCCAACAGCCGCGGUGAUACGUAAGGUGCGAGCGUUGUCCCGAUUUAUUGGGCGUAAAGGGCUCGUAGGUGGUUGAUCGCGUCGGAAGUGUAAUCUUGGGGCUUAACCCUGAGCGUGCUUUCGAUACGGGUUGACUUGAGGAAGGUAGGGGAGAAUGGAAUUCCUGGUGGAGCGGUGGAAUGCGCAGAUAUCAGGAGGAACACCAGUGGCGAAGGCGGUUCUCUGGGCCUUUCCUGACGCUGAGGAGCGAAAGCGUGGGGAGCGAACAGGCUUAGAUACCCUGGUAGUCCACGCUGUAAACGGUGGGUACUAGGUGUGGGGUCCAUUCCACGGGUUCCGUGCCGUAGCUAACGCUUUAAGUACCCCGCCCGGGGAGUACGGCCGCAAGGCUAAAACUCAAAGGAAUUGACGGGGCCCCGCACAAGCGGCGGAGCAUGCGGAUUAAUUCGAUGCAACGCGUAGAACCUUACCUGGGUUUGACAUGGAUCGGGAGUGCUCAGAGAUGGGUGUGCCUCUUUUGGGGUCGGUUCACAGGUGGUGCAUGGCUGUCGUCAGCUCGUGUCGUGAGAUGUUGGGUUAAGUCCCGCAACGAGCGCAACCCUUGUUCACUGUUGCCAGCACGUUAUGGUGGGGACUCAGUGGAGACCGCCGGGGUCAACUCGGAGGAAGGUGGGGAUGACGUCAAGUCAUCAUGCCCCUUAUGUCCAGGGCUUCACGCAUGCUACAAUGGCUGGUACAGAGAGUGGCGAGCCUGUGAGGGUGAGCGAAUCUCGGAAAGCCGGUCUCAGUUCGGAUUGGGGUCUGCAACUCGACCUCAUGAAGUCGGAGUCGCUAGUAAUCGCAGAUCAGCAACGCUGCGGUGAAUACGUUCCCGGG